rnacentral:piRNA from 1 species
AGCCCGGGCGUUGGUGGCGCACG